GAUGAAGAACGUAGCGAAAUGCGAUAAGUAAUGUGAAUUGCAGAAUUCAGUGAAUCAUCGAAUCUUUGAACGCACAUUGCGCCCAUUAGUAUUCUAGUGGGCAUGCCUGUUCGAGCGUCAUUAAGUCCACUUAAGCCCUGCUUAGUGUUGGGAGACUGCUCCAGCGGUGCUACCCUGUAGCUACCCUGCAGCUCCUCAAAGACAGCGGCGGAGUUGUGGUAUCCUCUGAGCUUAGUAACUUGUUCUAGCUUUCGAGUACACCACUUCCCCUGCCGUAAAACCCUUAAUUUUUAAUGGUUGACCUCGGAUCAGGUAGGAAUACCCACUGAACUUAAGCAUAUCAAUAAGCGGGGA
rnacentral:misc_RNA from 1 species